GACAGAGGGUGCAAACGUUAUUCGGAAUCACUGGGCAUAAAGGGCGCGUAGGCGGCUUUCUAAGUCAGGGGUGAAAUCCGGCAGCUCAACUGUCGCAGUGCCUUUGAUACUGGAGAGCUCGAGGGAGGUAGGGGUCUGUGGAACUUCCGGUGGAGCGGUGAAAUGCGUUGAUAUCGGAAGGAACGCCGGUGGCGAAAGCGACGGACUGGAUCUCUUCUGACGCUGAGGCGCGAAAGCCAGGGGAGCAAACGGG
rnacentral:rRNA from 1 species